rnacentral:misc_RNA from 1 species
UCUCCGUAGGUGAACCUGCGGAAGGAUCAUUAAAGAGUAAGGGUCUUCGGGCCCGAUCUCCAACCCUUUGUUUAACUACCAUGUUGCUUUGGCGGGCCCGUCUCACGACCGCCGGAAGUUUGGCUUCGACCAAACUUCUGGCCCGUGCCCGUCAGUGGCCCCUUCAAAUUCUUGAUCAAGUAUGAUGUCUUAGUUAAAAACUUAAUAGUUAAAACUUUCGACAACGGAUCUCUUGGUUCUG